GACGAACGCUGGCGGCGUGCUUAACACAUGCAAGUCGAGCGGUAAGGCCCUUUCGGGGUACACGAGCGGCGAACGGGUGAGUAACACGUGGGUGACCUGCCCUCAGCUCUGGGAUAAGCCCGGGAAACUGGGUCUAAUACCGGAUAUGACUCCAUGACGCAUGUUGUGGGGUGGAAAGCCUUGUGCGGCUGAGGAUGGGCCCGCGGCCUAUCAGCUUGUUGGUGGGGUGAUGGCCACCAAGGCGACGACGGGUAGCCGGCCUGAGAGGGCGACCGGCCACACUGGGACUGAGAUACGGCCCAGACUCCUACGGGAGGCAGCAGUGGGGAAUCUUGCGCAAUGGGCGAAAGCCUGACGCAGCGACGCCGCGUGAGGA
rnacentral:rRNA from 1 species